GGAAAUGUUUUUAUUAGAAGACAUGUCUUAAGCAUCAGAGAACGAGUACAGGAAAGCAACCAUUUUCUUGUUUUGUAUUAGAGAAAUCUUUUUUAAAUAGUGCGUUAUACAUCAGGGGAUGAACAAAAGUCAAAUCAUAUUCCCAAAGGCCAGAUUUCACACAUAGGAUCCUCAAAGAGCAGACUGCAAGGGAUUGUUAAAGUACAUAAUGCUCCUUAUGGAAUUCUUCAAAAUGGUGUUGGAGUUGGCCCACCCCUCCAAUGACAUCAGGAGAACACGACUCGGCCGCCCUUCUCACAGACUCACAACAGUCCUAGAAGUCCUCAGAGAAAGACUGUCAGCUCCCAGGUCAUGUGUGCAGCUCCCCAUGACAAGAAAGCUGCCCAUCUUUACUGCACAGUCUCAAUGCAGCUAUCAGGAAGUACAAGAAGCAAGGAGAGGGGCAUUUUAAUAUUUACAUAUACCCUCCUACGCCACUUUACCCCUAGCUUUGUGUAACUUUGUCACCCAAAUCCCCUAUUUCUCAGGCCUUUUGUCCAGCUCUUCUUUUGUUACUCUGUCUCUGUAGCCUUUUGUCACUCUGCCCCUGUAGCAAUUUUUCACUGUCAAUCUGUAUGCCUAAUUCUCUGCCCAAUUCUAUCACAACCUUUAAUACUAUAUUUCCCUGCCCCUCUCUGUAUUUAUCACUUGGUGCCACUAAUCCCCUGUCCCCCUAGCUCUGUGUCACUGUCAUUUUGUCCACCUAACCCUUUUGCCUCUAGCUCUGUUGUGUCAGUCUGUCCCUCAUAUUCCCCGAAGAAUUUUUAUCACUGUCACUCUGUACGCUUAAUCCUCUGUCCUCCUAAUCACAUAGCCUUUUGUCCCUCUCUCCCCUUGUUCCUCUCUGUUUUU